rnacentral:rRNA from 1 species
CGACCGGCGCACGGGUGAGUAACACGUAUCCAACCUGCCGUCUACUCUUGGACAGCCUUCUGAAAGGAAGAUUAAUACAAGAUGGCAUCAUGAGUCCGCAUGUUCACAUGAUUAAAGGUAUUCCGGUAGACGAUGGGGAUGCGUUCCAUUAGAUAGUAGGCGGGGUAACGGCCCACCUAGCCUUCGAUGGAUAGGGGUUCUGAGAGGAAGGUCCCCCACAUUGGAACUGAGACACGGUCCAAACUCCUACGGGAGGCAGCAUG